CGCGCGGCCCUGCCGGCGACGCCGGUGCGGAUGAUCAACUCGCCAUCGGACGCGUCCAGCGUCCAGGUCUCGGUCACGGAACGACGAUAUGCCAG
rnacentral:sRNA from 1 species